rnacentral:rRNA from 1 species
CCUACGGGAGGCAGCAGUGAGGAAUAUUGGUCAAUGGGCGCUAGCCUGAACCAGCCAAGUAGCGUGAAGGAUGACUGCCCUAUGGGUUGUAAACUUCUUUUAUAUGGGAAUAAAGUGCAGUAUGUAUACUGCUUUGCAUGUACCUUAUGAAUAAGGAUCGGCUAACUCCGUGCCAGCAGCCGCGGUAAUACGGAGGAUUCGAGCGUUAUCCGGAUUUAUUGGGUUUAAAGGGAGCGUAGGCGGGUUGUUAAGUCAGUUGUGAAAGUUUGCGGCUCAACCGUAAAAUUGCAGUUGAUACUGGCAGCCUUGAGUACAGUAGAGGUAGGCGGAAUUCGUGGUGUAGCGGUGAAAUGCUUAGAUAUCACGAAGAACUCCGAUGGCGAAGGCAGCCUGCUGGACUGUAACUGACGCUGAUGCUCGAAAGUGUGGGUAUCAAACAGGAUUAGAUACCCCGGUAGUC